rnacentral:lncRNA from 1 species
UAGAACAAAUUUCAGAUCUAUGCAUGUCUUUACAUAUCGAAUAUAUGGUCUGAAAAUUAAAUCUAAAAUAAAUUUCAGAUUCAAAGCAAUCAUCUAUAUAUCUCAUAUAUCAAGAAAAAUCAGAUUUUGAAACUUUUUUCAAAAACAUGUGUGUCAAUUUCAUGCAUAUAAGACUCGUAGCCCUGAUACCACUGUAGGAAUUUUGUGUCGGGGCAUGCAUGUACGUUUCAAUUUUUUUUUUUUAAACAACGCAGCAGGAUAGAAGAUUAAAACAUCUUUUAAUCUAAAUCAUGCAUGCAUAAAAUAAAGAACACAAG